CAGGGAGGGAAAACAGUCAUGUCUGAAUGCCUUCUGUAACUGGAGAAGGGACAAAAACCUGGCAUCUUGCAAUCAAAUUCUGCUGAAGAUAAAGUAAUCUUCUGCCUCCAAUAAUCCAUAGCAUAUGUGAUCAUAAAUAGGUAUUUUUAGAAUGAGAAAUAAAAGAGCAUGCAUUAAUUACUUUAUUAUACUUGCCACUUAGGGAUGAUUCAACAAGUAGACUGUAAGCCUUGCAAGAUGAAAAGUGAAGACCACUCCAUCAGUCAAGAGAAGCUGGACCAGUUCCCACAGAAGAAAAGUGGUAAGAAAGCAGAUGCAGGGUGGGGUAACAGCACAUCUCCUGACAGCAAAGCAGCAAGAGAGGAUAUUUUCCUCUGAUAGCAUGGACAGUAGCAUGGCAUUCUCUUCAGCAAAAGUCUUACAAGCCUAUCUCCGAAAUGAAUUAAGUAAAAUACUAAAUGGAAAGACUGACUGGCAAAAGGGCUCUGCACUUAAGCUUCAUUCCUUCAUCAUUUCAGUCAUCCAAAGCUUUGCCAAAGACUUCAGUGAUGCUGAGCUGAAUGCGGGGUUUCACAUCAGCACCAGUGCAGCAGUCACCAGAACACGCUGUGCCACAUUCAGAGCAGCCCUGCUAAUACUUCUCCCUCAAAGAAAACUGCGUGGUGUGAUUUCAGGACCGUUUCCCAGCAUAAUCCAUUACAGUCUCCCCAGCAGCACUAUUCUCUUUCAGUGCUAUUUGUACUACCAUUUUAUGUAGAGUUUCCUGCUGCAGGUCGGUACUCUCUCAUCAGCACCUUAUCCUUACCGGAAAAAGGCAGCUGGCCACAGACUCUAACAGACUAGAAACCUCAACAUAGGCGAGACUAAGGAUUUUUACUUUCUUCUCCCUUUGUUACUUUACAGUCCUUUAAGGUCAUUAUUAUCCAAUGCAGUAGAGACAAAGCCACAGAAUGCGAAGGAAUUAAACUUGUACUGAACAGAAAGAAAAAGGAAAGCAUUUCCAUAGUCAGGCUCAUUCUGAUGCAAGUUGCCUUGCUUUUCUACCAUGCUAU